AACGAACGCUGGCGGCAUGCCUAACACAUGCAAGUCGAACGAGAUCUUCGGGUCUAGUGGCGCACGGGUGCGUAACGCGUGGGAAUCUGCCCUUUGGUUCGGAAUAACAGUUAGAAAUGACUGCUAAUACCGGAUGAUGUCGCAAGACCAAAGAUUUAUCGGCAAAGGAUGAACCCGCGUAGGAUUAGCUAGUUGGUGAGGUAAAGGCUCACCAAGGCGACGAUCCUUAGCUGGUCUGAGAGGAUGAUCAGCCACACUGGGACUGAGACACGGCCCAGACUCCUACGGGAGGCAGCAGUGGGGAAUAUUGGACAAUGGGCGAAAGCCUGAUCCAGCAAUGCCGCGUGAGUGAUGAAGGCCUUAGGGUUGUAAAGCUCUUUUACCAGGGAUGAUAAUGACAGUACCUGGAGAAUAAGCUCCGGCUAACUCCGUGCCAGCAGCCGCCGUAA
rnacentral:rRNA from 1 species